AUGUGGCGAGGAGCCUCCAAGGCCCCAGAGUGUGCCCGAGGUUUCACCUGCCUUGCCUGCUGGUUAGGGAUGCAAAGCAGCAACUCACCGGGCUUCCUGAAGACAUCUGGGGUUCAGCCCAGGCCAGACCAACACACUAUGGGUGUGGCGGGUAGCCACCGAGGCCCCAGAGGGUGCCCGAGGUUUUGCCUUUCUUGUUCGCUGGUCAGAGGGGCAGAGCCCAGACCCACUGGACUUCCUGAAGAUGUCCCGCUGCAUGGUCCUUAUCCCUAGGGAGGGAUGCCAAGGAAGAGAAGAUGAAAGAUAGAGAGACACAACUCUCCAGUAUGGGGAUCAGAGUGGCCCAGCAAAAUAACUUAACUUCCUGGAAGAACAAAUAUUUUGGAAUUCUUAGAAAAUGACAGAACUGCCAGUAUUAUAUGAAUCAUCUAUGCACACUGUAAAAUCUAAAACAUAGUCUCCUUCUUUUGCAAUAUAAAAAUGGAACUUUUUUGAGCAAAAUAAAAAAUAAAAACGAAGACAAUAUGUGCCAAUUUGUGGGCAAAUCUACAUCACUGUAGGGGUUUGUGCCACUGGAGAUUAUCUUACUUAUGCUACAGAAACAGCCAAUGUAUUGCAUGUGGACCUCCACUGCAGACAUCACUAAGUGAUCUUAGGAUAUUUUCCCACUGAACCUGAGAGAAGAGGUUGAACAUGGUCAAAGAAAAGAAUGAAAGUAUUCAGUACUCUUAAAAAUAAUGUAUUUUACGCACCACUGGAAUGGCCCUUUGGUGGAGUUAAAAUUAGCACAUCUCAGUAUCAUUUUCUCAAUUUCACAUCCCAUACCUGCCACAAAGCGGUUAUGGCACCUUUCCCUGGGUCAUGUAAUUUCUAUGGGUUUCUAAUUCCUUUCCUAUAGAGCAAAGAAAUGAACCAAAUAACUUGCAAAGUUGAUUACUUUUCCAGUAGUUCAUAUUACUGGGUUUCCUCUUUACUCUACAUCAGGUUAUCUCUCUAUAUCCAUAUUAAGAACCACUUGUCUUGGACUAUAGAAAUGUAGCUCCUCUUUCCUGAUGGCACAUGAGCAGGUUCUUGGUCCAAACAACAUGCUUCAGUUAAAGAGUCCAAAGGGCUCAGUUGCUCAGUGUCUCUCUGCCCCUGAUCUUUGACAAACGUUCACUAGACCCACAGCUGCCAAGAUGAAUACUUCUGCCCCAAAGUGUUAACUUGAAAAUCAAGAUCUCAUUUGUUCUCUGUGGUUUCAUUUCCUGCCAGGAAACAGAGCUAAAGGGUACAGAUGGGGCCUAAAAUGGCAAACACUUUUAAAGUAAAUUUUGAAUUCACCAUAGUUUCAUUUUCUGAGAGAGACUGAUAAACACAAGUACCCUCUUCUUUCUUUGGGGUCACGCAGGAAGGCUUUCCAAUGGAGGACCUCUGGAAGCCCUACUUCUAGAUGAAGGAAGUGUGAAGCUCACUCUGGAAUAUAAAGUGCAUCCUGGAAUUGCGAUGUUGGGUGGGGCCUCCAGUAGUGAUUUCUACCUCCUUGGAAUCCAUGGACGGGAAGAGAAGAGGCCCUGGAGUGUUCCAGCCAGUAGGCAAGAGGUGCCAGGAGCACAGGGUACUUCCUCCUCCAGGAGGAACAUGGUGGGUCACUGGACAGAGCGCACCUCCACCCUAACAGCAGUGGGGGAACAAUCUUCUCUUGGAGCAGCGCACUCUGUGUGCAUAUUGGUACACAGGACAGUAUUCAGAAGCAUGAAUUGUAAAGCCUGUGACUAGGUUUUGUAGCCUCUAUGACUUGAGCUGUCUAAACUUCAUCUUUCUCAUCCAUAAAAUCACAUGAAUAGAAUCUAAUCAUAAGGAUCAUUGUGUGAUUAGAUAAGACAGUGUAAAGCAAGAAGGUAUAGUAUCUGGCACACAGCACUGUGCUGAUAUUUACUGGAGUCUGAGAUGGAAGAAAUCUGUAAUAAUGAUCCAAUAUUUCCUUAAAUAAAAUAAGUUUGUUAACUAUGAGUUUUA
ensembl:lincRNA